rnacentral:rRNA from 1 species
UGGGGAAUUUUGGACAAUGGGCGCAAGCCUGAUCCAGCCAUGCCGCGUGCGGGAAGAAGGCCUUCGGGUUGUAAACCGCUUUUGUCAGGGAAGAAAUCUUCUGAGUUAAUACCUCGGGAGGAUGACGGUACCUGAAGAAUAAGCACCGGCUAACUACGUGCCAGCAGCCGCGGUAAUACGUGGGUGCAAGCGUUAAUCGGAAUUACUGGGCGUAAAGCGUGCGCAGGCGGUUUUGUAAGACAGAGGUGAAAUCCCCGGGCUCAACCUGGGAACUGCCUUUGUGACUGCAAGGCUUGAGUGCGGCAGAGGGGGAUGGAAUUCCGCGUGUAGCAGUGAAAUGCGUAGAUAUGCGGAGGAACACCGAUGGCGAAGGCAAUCCCCNNGUCUGCACUCGACGCUCAUGCAGCG